AUGGGCCUACGGGACGCAGCAGUAGGGAAUCUUCGGCAAUGGACGAAAGUCUGACCGAGCAACGCCGCGUGAGUGAAGAAGGUUUUCGGAUCGUAAAACUCUGUUGGUAGAGAAGAACGUUGGUGAGAGUGGAAAGCUCAUCAAGUGACGGUAACUACCCAGAAAGGGACGGCUAACUACGUGCCAGCAGCCGCGGUAAUACGUAGGUCCCGAGCGUUGUCCGGAUUUAUUGGGCGUAAAGCGAGCGCGGGUGGUUUAUUACGUCUGGUGUAAAAGGCAGUGGCUCAACCAUUG
rnacentral:rRNA from 1 species